GGUCUUCCCCUCACAGCCCAGGUUUCUGACUGCACUCCUGUGUCUGUAUCCCGUGUUAACCCAGAUCGCUGUCCCUUCUCUCCUUGCCUCAUUCUGUGGUUACUUGAGAAGGCUGCUGAUUAACCAAAGCACCUCACUUAGAACUUCCUACGGCCGGACUGUCCCGCAGUGAGACCUAGGCUCGUCCUUCACUCCAAGGAUGCCCAUUCUGGAUUCUUGCUUGAACAAAUUGGCAAGAUAUGAGCAAGCCAUACAGAAGAAAUGGAGGAAGUGGUGGAUCCCAAUGUGCAGCCUCUUGGCUAUUUGUGUCUUUUGAAAACAGUAAAAGGAAUUUCAAAUGAAGGCUGUCGUUGACAGAACUAAGUGGCUGCUGAGCCAAAGGAGGCCAAAGCUGUCGGCAAACCACAAUCUGGAGACCGUGAUGGUUGUACUGGCCACAUCUCCACUGCUUCCCUGGCCCUUCUGACUCUGCAGGGCAGCUGGAAGUCAGCAGAGGAGCUGUUCUACAGGUGGCCUGAGAAGAAAAUGCAAGCCUCUGUGUCAGCAUAAAGCUUUCAAUUGACAAAUUACCAGAGGGAUAGGUUGCGCUGGGCUUGUUUCAUACACCUUCAGGUAACAUUUUCGCUCUGCAUUUUGGAGGAUGCUGCUUCACAUGCUGCAGUAGCUGUAUUUUUGAAGCUUUUAAAGCAAAGGCAGAAUUAUGGAGAGAUAUGUUGUGGGAGAUAUUACACUAGCUUCGUCCAGCUUCACUUUGGACUUUCUUCUGCAUGAAAAGUACUGAAUAAAUCCAAGUUAGUGACUGGGGAGAGCAGAGACUGCCUGAAGGCAAUGAACAGAUGUGUAGGCUGAGCGAGAAAUGAUAAGAGAAGAGAAAACUCAGCUAAGAGGAUUUGGGCUUCAUCAAACUUCCCAUGACUUAGACCAUUAACAGAGGAAUAGAGCAAAAUAAGGACUGAGGAAUGAUAUAUAUAAGGGCUUCACAUUCAUGACUUUAACUGCUUUAUGUAGCUUUUUCGAGGAUUUUUGAAGGGGAGAAUGCUGCAUUUUUGGCUUCUUACACAGCAAUACAUUUGUUAGGCCCACUUAGAACUCAAAGGUGCUUUACCUCUAUUUUUCAGCUUAGGCUUUAUUUACAAUUCUAUAGAUUCCAGCUAAAUGCUAUUGAAUAAAUUCAGCUCUAAUUUUCCUAGGAAGCAUAAGUGCUUGGUUUUUUUACACCUGUUCUCAGUAAUGACCUCUGCUUUAAAACAAAUGGAAUAAUUUUCAGGGUUUAAUGGGCUUUUGCUUUCAACAGCUACAAAUAAUCUAAUUAUCUAGCCACUGUGGGUACUGGAUGAUUUAAGAAUUAAAGACACGAUUAGAAUCUGUUACAGUAAUUAGAAUCCAUUUUAAACCAAUUGCCUGUGGCAUUACAUGGUCUAGUGAAAGAAGGGCUGCUGGCUAAAUGCAGCCACUAAAUGCAAAAAUAAAUGUUAUUACAAUUUUUCUAACUAAAAAAGUCAAGAUUUCAGAAGUCACGUAAGUGAAAUUGUCUGUCCUUUCUUAUGUUACUUGUAUUUGAGAUAUUUCAUACAUCACUGAAGCCAAUGGAAGGAAGAUCAUUGACUGAAUGGGCUUUGGAUUAAAUUGACUUAAUAAAAAUGUGAAUUAGUGAAUAAAAGUAAAAUUUAAAAAAUAGUGAAUAAAAGAAAAAUGCAAUGAACAAAAAGGAAGUGUAAUGAAUA